rnacentral:lncRNA from 1 species
CUCCACUGCAGUUGUUUCUAUGAUGAUUGCUGAAGUGAAGGAGGAGUUAUCUAAUCUGAAAAGUCUUAUUCAGGGUCAAUACAUGAGAUGCUCAGACAUUCAAGAAGCUACAAAGUAGAUGCAAGACUCAGUCAGAUCCGAGCUGUUGAGCCUAAAUUCAGGAGCUGAAAGGGUAGCAAACGCUAUCAUAAACAAGCUUGAUACAAUCACUGACAGCGUAACCCAACUGACCCAAACCCAAGCUAGGACUACUUCAGAAAUUAUUGUGCAACUGGGGAACAUCUCUGAGGGAGUUCAUCUACUUAUGGAGUGUCA